rnacentral:rRNA from 1 species
CAAUAGCGUAUAUUUAAGUUGCUGCAGUUAAAAAGCUCGUAGUUGGAUUUCGGGUGGGAAUGGCCGGUCCGCCGUUUCGGUGUGCACUUGCUACGCCCACCUUGCUGCCGGGGACGUGCUCUUGAGUUCACGCUCGGGACACGGAGUCGGCGAGGUUACUUUGAGUAAAUUAGAGUGUUCAAAGCAGGCCUACGCUCUGAAUACAUUAGCAUGGAAUAACACGAUUGGACUCUGGCCUAUCUUGUUGGUCUGUAGGACCGGAGUAAUGAUUAAGAGGGACAGUCGGGGGCACUCGUAUUUCAUUGUCAGAGGUGAAAUUCUUGGAUUUAUGAAAGACGAACUACUGCGAAAGCAUUUGCCAAGGAUGUUUUCAUUAA